AGAGUUUGAUCCUGGCUCAGAACAAACGCUGGCGGCGUGCCUAAUACAUGCAAGUCGAUCGGGGAAAGGCUUCGGCCAAGUACUAGAGGCGCACGGGUGAGUAACACGUAGGUAAUCUGCCCUCGAGUGGGGAAUAACUAAUCGAAAGAUUAGCUAAUACCGCAUAAGACCACAGGAGCUGAGGCUCUAGAGGUUAAAGGAGCAAUUCGCUUGAGGAUGAGCCUGCGUCGGAUUAGCUAGUUGGUGAGGUAACGGCUCACCAAGGCAAUGAUCCGUAGCUGGUCUGAGAGGAUGAUCAGCCACACUGGAACUGAGACACGGUCCAGACUCCUACGGGAGGCAGCAGUAGGGAAUAUUGCGCAAUGGGGGAAACCCUGACGCAGCGACGCCGCGUGAGUGAUGAAGGCCUUCGGGUCGUAAAGCUCUGUUGCAAGGGAAUAAAAAAAUGAAUGUACCUUGUGAGGAAGGAUCGGCUAACUUCGUGCCAGCAGCCGCGGUAAGACGAGGGAUCCUAGCGUUGUUCGGAAUCAUUGGGCGUAAAGCGGGUGUAGGUGGCUUGGUAAGUCGGGUGUGAAAGCCCAGGGCUCAACCCUGGAAGUGCAUUCGAUACUGCUGAGCUUGAGUGUUGGAGAGGUCACUGGAAUACCUGGUGUAGUGGUGAAAUACGUAGAUAUCAGGUGGAACACCGGAGGCGAAGGCGGGUGACUGGCCAAACACUGACACUGAGACCCGAAAGUGUGGGGAUCAAACAGGAUUAGAUACCCUAGUAGUCC
rnacentral:rRNA from 1 species